CUUUGUUCAUCUCCUCGCGUAGGAAACAAACAAGAAACCACGAGACCAAUGGAGGGAGCCCGACCCUUCUCCGUCGUCUCCUCCACCUCUACCUCUCGCUCAAAUCUCCGCCUCGCGUAUAAUAAAUCCCUUCCCCAAUCCUUUUCUCUCCUAACGUCGAAUUCAAAUGUUCCAUCUCCUCUCAAAUCCUCGAAGAAACCCCACAAAAGAACGGAGAGGAAUCCGAUUCCGAGGACCCCAAAACUGAAUUCGGAGGUUUCCCCUCACAGAGCAGCUUCGGCGGUGAGGCUGCUGAGGAUCGAACAGGGCGGAGCUUUCGCAGAUCUUUUGAACGAGAAGUGCGGGGGCAAUGGCGAGGGCGAAAUGGGCUAUGUCCAGAGGACGCUAGGGUUUCGUACGCGGGCCCUAGACGAUAGAGAUAUCAGAUUGGUGACAGACAUUGUUGGCGGCACUGUUCGUUGGAGACGAUAUCUUGAUCAUCUGAUCAUGUCGGUCUGCAUUGAGGAGAGGAUGUUCAGGGACAUGGAGCCAUUGCUUUUGCAAAUAUUGCGUGUUGGGUUCUACGAGAUCAUCAAGCUAAACAUGCCAUCUUAUGCUGUUGUUGAUGAGAAUGUAAAGCUUGCAAAAGCAGCACUGAGGCCCGGUGCAGGGAAUUUGGUUAAUGCGAUUAUGCGAAAGCUACUUUUGUUGAAGGAAACAGAAUCUCUACCUCUCCCAGCGGUAGAAGGUGAUGAUCGCGCCCGAGCACGUGCUCUUGCCAUUAUUCAUUCACAUCCUGUUUGGAUGGUCAGGAGAUGGAUAAGAUUUCUUGGGCAAGAAGAAGCUAUCAGACUCAUGAACUGGAACAACAGGGAUCCCUGUUUCAGUUUAAGGGUGAACAGCGGGAAUGGUUUUACAAUUGCUGAUCUUGUUAAGAAAUUGCAAGAUUUGAAGGUUCCUUAUGAGCGUUCUACUGUUUUGCAUGAAUUUCUUCGUAUUCAAACUGGCAUGCAGACAGUCAUACAAGCUGGCUUACUGAAGGAGGGCAUGUGUUCUGUUCAGGAUGAGAGUGCAGGAUUGGUAGUGUCUGUGGUGGAUCCACAGCCUGGAGAAACAAUCAUUGAUUGUUGUGCUGCACCUGGUGGAAAAACUUUAUUCAUGGCAUCACGCUUAAAAGGACAAGGCAUGGUCCGUGCAAUUGACAUAAAUAAAGGCCGUUUAAGAAUUCUCAAAGAGACAGCUAGAUCACACAAACUUGACAGUGUGAUCGCUGCCGUCCACACAGACAUUCGACUAUAUGUUGAUAAAAAAACCACCGAGGCUGAUAAAGUUCUGUUGGAUGCUCCUUGUUCUGGACUGGGCGUCCUUUCCAAGAGAGCAGACUUGCGUUGGAACAGACAUUUAGAAGAUUUAGAGCGGUUGAAGAAUUUGCAAGAUGAGCUUCUUGAUGCAGCUUCACUGUUGGUGAAGCCUGGUGGGGUUCUUGUCUACAGCACUUGUUCCAUCGACCACGAGGAAAAUGAAGAAAGGAUUGCAGCAUUUCUUCACAGGCACCCGGAAUUUGUUCUGCAACCUGUGGAUGGAUACGUUCCUCCUGAUUUUGUGACACGUGAUGGUUUCUAUUCCUCUAGUCCCAUUAAGCAUUGGAUGGACGGGUCAUUUGCUGCUCGGCUGGUCCGAUCGCUAGGCUAGAAGUCCAAGUUCUAGGUCAGUAAUAUCACAAGUCAGGAUGUCUCUGCUAGACUAGCUUGAUUCACAUGUGGAGUGCUCUCAGCUUCAGGAAACACUUAUUUGGAUUUGACAUUGAAGAUGUGAGUCAUCCAAACCAAGUGAAGUAAUGGGCUUCUUAGGCACUUAGUGCUGAAUAUAAAUUUCAAAAGUAUUGCUGUCUGAAGCUUUCAGAUGACAAUGCGAGGCUCCUAGCUCCAUUUAACAUCGUAUCAAAGUGGAAGGCCCGAAGCCUCUGAUUUCGAAUCCUGCUAGACUCCUGGCUUUACUUAAUUUGUUUAAUUUGCUCACAUUUCAUGCUUGCGAUUUGAAGGGAGAUGCUCAACACAGGCCAAGAGUAGCAGAUAUCAUUCCUCAUGAAAUAAAUGGUGGUAGUUUGGCUCGGCGAUGCUGAUUAUUAUUGUUAUUAUUAUUAUUGUUGUUGUUAUUAUUUUAAACACAUUUUUAUGCUUGUUUCUGCAUAUAUCGGCAUAGCUAUUUAUUCCAAGAAAAAGCUACACUAAUUCUCUAGUAGAAAGAAAAAGAAAAGCUACAUUAAAUACGAAAUGUUUGAACAUGUGAUGUUUUGUUCCGCCAGUUUUUAUGUAGCUUUUCUUUUUAAGUUCAAACAUUCUGUAUGUAAUGCAGCUUUGUCGCCCCGUCUACAAGAAAGAACAGAGAAAACAUGUUAAGUUCAAACAUUUUAAGUGUUUUCUUUUUUUCUCUUGGGGAAAAAACAAAUAGACCAAGUGUUUUUUGGCCAUGUGCUGUUAACGUGAAAACCUUCGUGAGACUAUGAUGACAA